rnacentral:rRNA from 1 species
GAUUUCUGGUUGGAUGCGCCUGGCCCGCCACGGUUUCGUGUGUGAGUGCCGGUUGUGUGUCUGCCAUCCUUCUAGUGCGCCCUCUCCUCUUCAUUGAGGUUGCGGUCGCGUCACUAGAUCGUUUACUUUGAAAAAAUUAGAGUGUUUCAAGCAGGCAUGCCGCUAUGAAUACAUUAGCAUGGAAUAAUGAUUUAGGACUUCGGUUCUAUUUUGUUGGUUUCUAGGACUGAAGUAAUGAUUGAGAGGGAUAGUUGGGGGUGCUAGUAUUCAGUGGCCAGAGGUGAAAUUCUCGGAUUCACUGAAGACUAACUUAUGCGAAAGCAUU